rnacentral:rRNA from 1 species
CCUCACCUACGGGAGGCAGCAGGGGGGGAGAUUGAAAAAUGGGGGGAACCCUGAUGCAGCGACGCCGCGUGGGCGAUGGAGUGCUUCGGCAUGUAAAGCCCUAUCAGCAGGGAAGAAAAUGACGGUACCUGACUAAGAAGCCCCGGCUAAAUACGUGCCAGCAGCCGCGGUAAUACGUAUGGGGCAAGCGUUAUCCGGAUUUACUGGGUGUAAAGGGAGCGUAGGCGGCCUGGCAAGCCUGAUGUGAAAUACCGGGGCCCAACCCCGGGGCUGCAUUGGGAACUGCCAGGCUGGAGUGCCGGAGG